UUCCUGUUCUUUGAUCUCCAGGUGCCCGACUGUGUGGAGGCAAGGAACUAUGCCGUUUUGUCUCUCUCGGUAAAUCCUUGCGUCUCACAGUUGAGUGUCUAGGACUUUGCGACUGUCCCCU
rnacentral:precursor_RNA from 15 species